rnacentral:rRNA from 1 species
CCUACGGGAGGCAGCAGUGGGGAAUAUUGGACAAUGGGCGCAAGCCUGAUCCAGCCAUACCGCGUGUGUGAAGAAGGCCUUCGGGUUGUAAAGCACUUUAAGCAGGGAGAAAAAGCUAUAGGUUAAUACCCUAUGGCCCUGACGUUACCUGCAGAAUAAGCACCGGCUAAUUCCGUGCCAGCAGCCGCGGUAAUACGGAAGGUGCAAGCGUUAAUCGGAAUUACUGGGCGUAAAGCGCGCGUAGGUGGUUUGUUAAGUUGGAUGUGAAAGCCCUGGGCUUAACCUAGGAACUGCAUCCAAAACUAACUCACUAGAGUACGAUAGAGGGAGGUAGAAUUCAUAGUGUAGCGGUGGAAUGCGUAGAUAUUAUGAAGAAUACCAGUGGCGAAGGCGGCCUCCUGGAUCUGUACUGACACUGAGGUGCGAAAGCGUGGGUAGCGAACAGGAUUAGAUACCCUGGUAGUCCACGCCGUAAACGAUGACAACUAGCUGUUGGGAGACUAUGUCCUUCAGUGGCGCAGCUAACGCUUUAAGUUGUCCGCCUGGGGAGUACGGCCGCAAGGCUAAAACUCAAAUGAAUUGACGG